rnacentral:rRNA from 1 species
ACUGCUCAGUAACACGUGGAUAACCUACCCUAAGGUGGGAGAUAACCCCGGGAAACUGGGGAUAAUACCCCAUAGUCUAUGGAAGCUGGAAUGCUCUAUAGUUGAAAGAUUUAUCGCCUUAGGAUGGGUCUGCGGCCGAUUAGGUAGUUGUUGGGGUAACGGCCCAACAAGCCUUUGAUCGGUACGGGUUGUGGGAGCAAGAGCCCGGAGAUGGAUUCUGAGACACGAAUCCAGGCCCUACGGGGCGCAGCAGGCGCGAAAACUUUACAAUGCGGGAAACCGUGAUAAGGGAACUCCGAGUGCCCGUAAACGCGGGCUGUCCAUCUGCUUAAAAAACAGGUGAAGAAAGGGCCGGGCAAGACCGGUGCCAGCCGCCGCGGUAAUACCGGCGGCUCGAGUGGUGGCCACUAUUACUGGGCUUAAAGCGUCCGUAGCUUGGUUGUUAAGUCUCUUGGGAAAUCUGUCGGCUUAACCGACAGGCGUUUAAGGGAUACUGGCAAUCUAGGGACCGGGAGAGGUGAGAGGUACUCCAGGGGUAGGAGUGAAAUCCUGUAAUCCUUGGGGGACCACCUGUGGCGUAGGCGUCUCACCAGAACGGCUCCGACAGUGAGGGACGAAAGCUGGGGGAGCAAACCGGAUUAGAUACCCGGGUAGUCCCAGCCGUAAACGAUGCGCGUUAGGUGUAUCGGUGACCACGAGUCACCGAGGUGCCGAAGGGAAACCGUGAAACGUGCCGCCUGGGAAGUACGGUCGCAAGGCUGAAACUUAAAGGAAUUGGCGGGGGAGCAC